rnacentral:rRNA from 1 species
GACGAACGCUGGCGGCGUGCUUAACACAUGCAAGUCGAACGGAAAGGCCCUGCUUUUGUGGGGUGCUCGAGUGGCGAACGGGUGAGUAACACGUGAGUAGCCUGCCCUUGACUUUGGGAUAACUUCAGGAAACUGGGGCUAAUACCGGAUAGGAGCUCCUGCUGCAUGGUGGGGGUUGGAAAGUUUCGGCGGUUGGGGAUGGACUCGCGGCUUAUCAGCUUGUUGGUGGGGUAGUGGCUUACCAAGGCUUUGACGGGUAGCCGGCCUGAGAGGGUGACCGGGCAAAGUGCGGACGGGCGGCCCGGCCGCCACAUCGCGGGGGGAGGGGGCGGACAAUAUGUCAUGCGGGGCGGGGGCCCGCUGCAGAACGGCUCGGGGAGGGCGGGCGGCCUGCGGUAUGUAGUCCGCUUCCGCCUGUGGGGGGGUGUGAUUGACGAAAAUGGGUAAAGACACACCGGCUAACGACGUGUCAUCAGCCGCGUUAAUAAUAGGAACCGCACACGUAUGACC